CUGUAUUAUGGGGACUGUAGUCAGGUUUUAUGGAAGAUAAUACAAUUUGGGAUGCCAUUAUAUAUCACGUGUGGCCCAGAUAUAAUCACGUGUUAUUUCUGAGGGGAGACACCUGUCUCAGCACAGUCUAGGGGGAAUUCCUCUCCUCCUUGGGUACAGGAAGCCUGGAUGGGCCUGAUGGGUUCUGCCUCCUUUCAUGCCAGGCGGAGGAAUCCCCACAUGUUCCAAUACCCCUCUCGGCCUGGAUAAACUUCCUCACCUGGUGGAGUGGACGGCUGUCUCCCGACUCCUGCCAGCUUCUGCUCUACUCUCUCCCUUUCUUGGAAGCACGGACCUGCACUCCUCUCCAUGCCUCCCUUUACUGCCAGAGACCCCUCUCUGUGUUCAGCAGCUGCCCAGAGAAUCUGACCUAUCAACUGGAAGUCGCCUUUGAUCACACUGGAGGCUGAGGAGCAGGAGGCAUCAGUUUCGCCUGAGUGUGACUCAGGCAGGACUUUCUGGGAGCAUUCAAGCCUCGACUACUUGGGAUCCUGGGCCACGCACACGGGGUGGCUCUGCGGACCUGCGGUGCCCCAAGCGAGUUUGCCAGGUGUUUUCGGGCCAAUUCUCACGAGCAUUCUGCCCAAAUCGGGACUGAUGUCGGCAGUUGCUCGUGUUCAUUCACCGGCGUUGGGCCAUCCUGCAGACUGCCCUGUCUCUGGUGGCCGAGAUCCCUUU
rnacentral:lncRNA from 1 species